rnacentral:rRNA from 1 species
AACGAACGCUGGCGGCAUGCCUAACACAUGCAAGUCGAACGAACUCUUCGGAGUUAGUGGCGCACGGGUGCGUAACGCGUGGGAAUCUGCCCCUUGGUUCGGAAUAACAGCGAGACAUUGCUGCUAAUACCGGAAGAUGACUUCGGUCCAAAGAUUUAUCGCCAAGGGAUGAGCCCGCGUAAGAUUAGGUAGUGGGUGUGGUAAUGGCCUACCAAGCCGACGAUCUUUAGCUUGUCUGGGAGGAUGAUCAGCCACACUGGGACUGAGACACGGCCCAGACUCCUACGGGAGGCAGCAGUGGGUAAUAUUGGACAAUGGGCGAAAGCCUGAUCCAGCAAUGCCGCUUAAGUGAUGAAGGCCUUAGGGUUGUAAAGCUCUUUUACCAGGGAUGAUAAUGACAGUACCUGGAGAAUAAGCUCCGGCUAACUCCGUGCCAGCCGCCGCCGUAACAC